GGAUCUAGCUUUAGGUCUGGGACAACCACUGGAAACGGUGGCUAAUACCGGAUGUGCCGAAAGGUGAAAGGUUAACUGCCUGAAGAUGAGCUCGCGUCUGAUUAGCUAGUUGGAAGUGUAAUGGACUCCCAAGGCGACGAUCAGUAGCUGGUCUGAGAGGACGAUCAGCCACACUGGGACUGAGACACGGCCCAGACUCCUACGGGAGGCAGCAGUGGGGAAUUUUCCGCAAUGGGCGAAAGCCUGACGGAGCAAUACCGCGUGAGGGAGGAAGGCUCUUGGGUCGUAAACCUCUUUUCUCAGGGAAGAAAAAAAUGACGGUACCUGAGGAAUAAGCAUCGGCUAACUCCGUGCCAGCAGCCGCGGUAAUACGGAGGAUGCAAGCGUUAUCCGGAAUGAUUGGGCGUAAAGCGUCCGCAGGUGGCAAUGUAAGUCUGCUGUUAAAGAGUCUAGCUCAACUAGAUAAGAGCAGUGGAAACUACAUAGCUAGAGUACGUUCGGGGCAGAGGGAAUUCCUGGUGUAGCGGUGAAAUGCGUAGAGAUCAGGAAGAACACCAGUGGCGAAGGCGCUCUGCUAGGCCGUACUGACACUGAGGGACGAAAGCUAGGGGAGCGAUGGAUAC
rnacentral:rRNA from 1 species